GGAUGGGUGGCCGAGUGGUCGAAGGCAGCAGUCUUGAAAACUGCCGUAGGGGUAACUCUACCGUGGGUUCGAAUCCCACUCCAUCCG
rnacentral:tRNA from 1 species